UGUCUCUUCCCCCUGAUCCCCUCGUUUCUUUCUCUCUCCCUUGCAUCUCUCUCCCGCUACCGCCGCCAUCGCCAUUGACCUCGCCAGCUGCUCCUCCCUCUAAAUCUAACCCUAGAUCCCCCUCUAUGACGUCGCAGCCACCCAUCCUCCUCCUGUCCCGGCUCUCCUCCUCCCCGCAUAUCGGUUGCGCCGCUGCUCUCCCAUCGAUCUCGCGUGCCGCCAUCACCAGGAGGAGUGAGUGGAUUGAGGACCUGCCAUUCUCGCCAUUGCUUCCCCGUCGAGCUCGCGCAUCACAUCAACGGGAGGAGAGGCUGCCGCUGCUCUACCCAGAGGAGCGCUGUCGACAAGAGGAGUCAAGGCGGAGGUCGCCGCUCCACCGUCGCCACCAGCUAUGCUUUGGGUGACGCUAACUGGUUCCAGUGGCUCGGCCCAGCCCUGCACCGCAGGAAGAAUAGGAAGCGGGGAGGGAGGAAGGGAAGGAAGACGAGAUCGUGGCCGGCACGCUGCGUCCAUUCAUCCAGGUACUGAUUGGUGUCACGGCUAAGGUUGGCUGGGUGUUUUUUGGGUGUUCAGUAGCCCAGUGGAACAUCGUCUGCGUGCUUGCUAUGCGACCAGGUCUCAAGUUCGACAUCUUGUCCGUCAUUCUUUUUCAAAUCAUGUUUUUACGAUUCUGAAAAAUAAAACAAAAAAUGUGCAAAACUGGAGUUUGAUCCUGCGACCUACCGAAGCUUCAAGUAGGGGCCUACCACCAGGCCAAAGCCACACAGGAUGGUCUCAGAAAUGCUGCUUAGAGGAAGCUCCUCGAUGAGCUAGGCAUCCCAGCUUGAUGAUGUGCCCAGCGACCGGUUCACCGCUCUUGGCCGGAUGCUUUACAGGGCGCUGGCCGUAGAGGCGGAAGAGGAGGUUGAGACAUCCGCGUCGCUUGCUGCAGCGACCACGACCGAUGCAUCGAAAGAGAGGGGCCUAGAGGUCUUGCUCCGACCCCACAGAGGGCAUGCCAAUGGCCGGAGCAUAGGAGGAGGCCCAGGCAGAGCGCGCCAUCUCCAUCGACUG